GUACUUCCCUGGCAGGUGAAAUACCAUGAUCAUUGAUGUGGUUUUCCAAAGCCAAUGCUUACAUACUGCACUCUAGAUGUAAUGACCCCGGCAAUCUCCCAAAAUGUGAAAAACUCAACAUCAUAUAAUUUAUGGUAGUAGGGAAUUGUGUUCAUGUUCCCUC
ensembl:snRNA U1 U1 spliceosomal RNA